GAGGGUCAGAUGAUGAUCUUAAAGCAUAGUUCAGCUGAUAAUCUCUGUGAUUAUUAUAACUUUAUAGUCUUUCGCUCCUAUCUGAUGACCCUU